GUGGGGAAUAUUGCACAAUGGAGGAAACUCUGAUGCAGCGACGCCGCGUGAAGGAUGAAGUAUUUCGGUAUGUAAACUUCUAUCAGCAGGGAAGAAAAUGACGGUACCUGACUAAGAAGCCCCGGCUAACUACGUGCCAGCAGCCGCGGUAAUACGUAGGGGGCAAGCGUUAUCCGGAUUUACUGGGUGUAAAGGGAGCGUAGACGGCACGGCAAGCCAGAUGUGAAAGCCCGGGGCUCAACCCCGGGACUGCAUUUGGAACUGCUGAGCUAGAGUGUCGGAGAGGCAAGUGGAAUUCCUAGUGUAGCGGUGAAAUGCGUAGAUAUUAGGAGGAACACCAGUGGCGAAGGCGGCUUGCUGGACGAUGACUGACGUUGAGGCUCGAAAGCGUGGGGAGCAAACAGGAUUAGAAACCCGAGUAGUCC
rnacentral:rRNA from 1 species